UACGGAGGGUGCAAGCGUUAAUCGGAAUUACUGGGCGUAAAGCGCACGCAGGCGGUUUGUUAAGUCAGAUGUGAAAUCCCCGAGCUUAACUUGGGAACUGCAUUUGAAACUGGCAAGCUAGAGUCUUGUAGAGGGGGGUAGAAUUCCAGGUGUAGCGGUGAAAUGUGUAGAGAUCUGGAGGAAUACCGGUGGCGAAGGCGGCCCCCUGGACAAAGACUGACGCUCAGGUGCGAAAGCGUGGGGAGCAAACAGG
rnacentral:rRNA from 1 species